UACGGAGGGUGCAAGCGUUAUCCGGAUUUACUGGGUUUAAAGGGUGUGUAGGCGGAUUAUUAAGUCAGCGGUGAAAUCUCCGGGCUCAACCCGGAAACUGCCAUUGAUACUAUUAGUCUUGAAUAUUGUUGAGGUGGGCCGGAACGGGUCAUGUAGCGGUGAAAUGCAUAGAUAUGACCCGGAACACCGAUUGCGAAGGCAGCCCACUAAGCAAUGAUUGACGCUGAGGCACGAAAGCGUGGGAUCAAACAGG
rnacentral:rRNA from 1 species